UUGAUCGUAAAAUCACAGUCUCUGAACUUAAACCUGGGGAUAGGGUUUUAGUCAGAAAUGUACGACUGCGUGGCAAAAAUAAACUUGCUGAUAAGUGGGAAACAGAUAUCCAUGUUGUUGAAAAGCGUGCAGGUCAGUUGCCAGUUUACACUGUAAAACCUGAAUCAAAGCAAGGUCCUUCGCGAACCCUACAUAGAGACCUUUUGCUUCCCUGCAGCUUUCUUCCUGUUGCCACGGUAGACAUACCUGAGCCAGUACUUGUUAGUCGCCCUAAGACUCGACAAACUGCUGCCACUGAAAUCACUGAUCCCGACGAAUCUGUUGAACUUGAAAAUGAUCUUUUAAUCUCAUGGGUUGAGGAUUCCCCGUGCCAAGAGAUAACCAGAUUUACCACUGUACAUGAAUAUUCAAAACCGCCGAACAUGACAAACCUCCCGGAUAUGACGAAACCACUGAAUGUGACAAAAACACUGAAUGUGACAAAACCACUGGAUUGGAACUUACCUGAUUGUGACUUACCUGAAACCGAUGCCGAUGCAGACCUGGAUAUGGAAGAAAAUGCCAAUGAGGAAGAUGCCAAGGAGGAAAAUUCAAAUGAGGAUGAAUCACUGGAAAACUUACCAGAUGUGGAAAAUACUGGAGUCGAGGGUGGAAAUCCACCCCAAAUUCCUGACAGAUUUGAGGAAAGUGAAGCGAUGAACUUACCUGAAAGUACUUCUGAGGAUUCAGUUGAGGAACAAGGAAAUGACUUACCUGAGGAAAUGGACAAUAAUGAUCCUAUAACUACUCAACCAUUGAGACGAUCAGAGAGACACAGACAACCACCAAUGAGAUUAGACUACCCUAAUUUAGGAAACCCCCUAAUGACUGUUGUGAAGUCCUUGUUUCAAGGUCUGAGUACUGCUUUCUCAGACUCUCUCAAUACUCAAAAUGGACAGUAUUGGUUAAACAUGCAGCGAGACGUGCAUGAUAUUUAACGGGGGAGGGUGUAACCCAGUAGAGUAAAUGUGACAUAUUUUAUUUAGAUACACUCAUUUUAUUUUGAAAAACGUUUAUUUUGGUAAGAGGAAGUGUGAUCCUCUAGCUCUCUCUUGACUUCCUGUUUGUCAGUCACGUUGGGUGAUAAUGACCUUCUUAUUUGUUGAGAAUAAUUAAGACCCGCCUUCUCAAGACGCGAUCUCAGAGUUAAGUUAGUUCUUCGUUCUUUUACGCUCUGGACGCAGAUGCGAGAGGCUGUGUGUGUGAUGACCACUUUUGUUUUUGCUAAGCUAAAUGAUUAUUUCGUUGAAUCCAUGUGUGAACCUGAAGGGCUGUGACGGUGUCUGUCCCAUGUUCAUGCUAACACAUCAUCUUGGCUAGGUUUUUUGUGUGUGUGACGAUUAAGAAGACAAAGACAAGACUGGAUCUGGAUUCUUCUUUGGAGGAAACGGCGAGCCUGUCCCAGAACCCAGAACUGAGAACUGAGAGCAACCUUCUUCUCUGCUCUUCUUAUCGAACUCAUCACGUGGUAACCACUCAAACUACCACAGCGAGGAUCCUGUUGGAACAUUGACUGUGACUAUACUGACUGAAUAUACUGAGCUCAGUAGGACUAAGGGUGAAUUAUGGUGCACAACUGAAUGUAAACAUAGAUUGCCGGCUGUUCAUUUGUAACAAAUUUUAUAAUUUUUAUUUUUAUUUAAAUUUUCUAUCCAAUACAAAUCAAGCUUGCUCAA